UCAGUCAACUUGGGUUCGAUAUUCAUUACGGUAAAAUAAAUCUGAUAAUUUUUGGUGCAGAAUUUUCCGAUCCUCUGCCUUGAACGAAGAAGAUGACCCGAGGAAAACAAAAGAUCGAAGCUCAGAGGCGAAAUGCGGAGAAAAAUCAGAAGCAGAAAGGCUCGCAGUUCGAGGCUAGAGCCGUUGCCCUUAAAGUCAUCUGCCCUAUUUGCAAGGUACAACUAGCAAAUCAUAACCAAUUGGGUGAUCACUAUGCCUCCAAACAUCCGAAGGAAAAGCCACCGUCAGAAUCUGGCUGAAUCGCCCCUUGCAAGUUGCAGUAUGUGAGUAGCUUUAUUGAAGGCAUUUCAAAGUUCCCUUCUGUGCAGAUCAAUGAAAGUUGCUCUGAUUGAUUGUCUUCAUCUUUCUUGUUCUUAAAAUUGUACUCCUCCUUGUAAGGGUAUAAAAUGACGAGUCAUUGUGGCACUUGUAAAAUAAACAAGACUCUAAUACGCUUGUUCCAGAGUCGUCCCAGUCUAGUUUACUCUGUGCCUAUGAACUAGGGAAUCCUAUCCUAAGAAAUGACAUUUUCUUUAUAAAAGGAUACAAUCUUGCAAAUGCAUAA